GAGGAGCUUCCAGAAUUGUAUAGUAAUGAGGCCAUUAGUAUUGAAAAAUUUUAGGUCAAUUAGCAUUGUGAGAAGUAUUUCGAAAUUGAUUACCAUGGUUUAGGUAGUGAGAUUAAAGAAAGUGAUUGGCUAGAUGGUAGGGCCAUAUCAAAAUGUUUUUAUGAAGGGAGAAAAAUUCUAAAAGCAAUUGUGAUUGCUAGUUGGUGGGUGGUAGAA
rnacentral:misc_RNA from 1 species